GAAGCAUCAGGGCAGCCCCUUUUAGCUCUUAGCUCAGUUCAUGACACAGCCUGCACUUUAGAGAGAUUCCUUUGCACUUUGAGAAGCAACUACUGAACACAGCAGCAGCAUUCACCUCUUUAAUUGAUGUUUCAAAGAAGAGAAAUGCAUCAUCAGUUUUCCUCUUGUGAAGCUCCAGAGAAAAGAAGAAUUUCCUAAAUCCUGAAGCAAAGAAGCAUAAACUAGUGAGUGCAAAGGCAGAAAAAAGCAGUAACAUUCCGGAGAUAAAAUGCAAAGUUAGGAGAAGGCUCCUGCGUGUGUUCUCUCUUCCUAAUACACAUAAGAAUGUCAUUGCAGUCUUUAAUUGCUGCUAGAGGUGGAGAAAAUAGAAAGGUUGAAGAAGUGCAUCAAGAAAGAAAUAAUGGAAACCUGACCAGUGACAGGAGCUGAUUACAGUUGGCAGACUGUAUAGGUUUCAGAUUCAUGCUGUGACUUUGGAAAUAAGUCCUGGCCGGGAUGCAUUUUUCUGGAAUAUCCCUAAGGAAUAUAUAUCAGUGAUUCAUCUAAGCAGCCACUGGAUAUCAUUACUGCUCUACCAAAAAUGAAGAUAAAAUAACAAUCUGGAAGAAAUAAAAGAAACAAGUGUCCCAGAUUUUCUCUCAAACUGUAGCAAAGAGAUCAUAAGGUGAAAUGAUAUUGUACCUCUACUUUGGAGGGGAUUAUUUUUUUUCUCCUAGAAACAACAAUCAAACACCUGAAAAGAGUGAGAAGUUCUGCUAUACUGAGGUUUCUCCUUUGCAAAGUCAAAAAAGAUCCCUACACAUUUUUUGAAAAUAAAAAGGCCUGUGAAAAUUC